rnacentral:lncRNA from 1 species
GCAAGUGCCAAUCGCAAAGUAUAUACACAAAAACAAAAAAGCAAGAAAAAUAAUGCAAGUGGGAGUUCCAAAUGAUGCGAGUACACGUCCAGCAUGCAUAAAGGAAACACAUUUUAACGUGUCAUCACCACCUCUUCCCAAGUUGGCCGACAUGUUCAUGCACAACCCACGAAUACUGCAUAUUCCUUGGUCUUUGAUUUAUAGAAAGCGAUUCUUAAACAUCUUCAGGUGAUGCACUUAUUACAUAAGAUUCGAUUUUAAUUAUGAUAGCUACGUCGGAGCAGGCGGUCAAGUUCAGCUGUUAUUCCUCCUGUCGUCUGUUUAAAUGCCAUUGGUCCUUCUCUUCUUCCUAAGGGCAUAACUUAUCCGUUCCACAAUGUUCAUAGAGAUAAAGCUGAUCAAUUUGACAGGAAAAUCACAGAAUAUAAUCUAUAAUUUCCUGUAUUACUUUGAUUGAACAAAAUUCUGUUAUCCAUCGUCAUGUGAUUUGAAAUAAUACAUAGUAUACUGCAAAAAUCCAUGAAGGAAUGUUCCUCCUCAUCAGAUUUGGUAUUUUAUGCACCGUUUGCUGGUGUUUUCGAAUUUUCUGAAUUUAUCAUCUGCUGUCAGGAUGAGUAUGAUAAAGGGGACCAAUG